rnacentral:rRNA from 1 species
GACGAACGCUGGCGGCGUGCUUAACACAUGCAAGUCGAGCGGUAAGGCCCUUUCGGGGGUACACGAGCGGCGAACGGGUGGGUAACACGUGGGUGACCUGCCCUUAGCUCUGGGAUAAGCCUGGGAAACUGGGUCUAAUACCGGAUAUGACUCCAUGACGCAUGUUGUGGGGUGGAAAGCCUUGUGCGGCUAGGGAUGGGCCCGCGGCCUAUCAGCUUGUUGGUGGGGUGAUGGCCUACCAAGGCGACGACGGGUAGCCGGCCUGAGAGGGCGACCGGCCACACUGGGACUGAGACACGGCCCAGACUCCUACGGGAGGCAGCAGUGGGGAAUCUUGCGCAAUGGGCGAAAGCCUGACGCAGCGACGCCGCGUGAGGGAUGACGGCCU